AGUGAACGCUGGCGGUAGGCCUAACACAUGCAAGUCGAACGGCAGCACAGUAAGAGCUUGCUCUUACGGGUGGCGAGUGGCGAACGGGUGAGGAAUACAUCGGAAUCUACUUUUUCGUGGGGGAUAACGUAGGGAAACUUACGCUAAUACCGCAUACGACCUACGGGUGAAAGCAGGGGAUCUUCGGACCUUGCGCGAUUGAAUGAGCCGAUGUCGGAUUAGCUAGUUGGCGGGGUAAAGGCCCACCAAGGCGACGAUCCGUAGCUGGUCUGAGAGGAUGAUCAGCCACACUGGAACUGAGGCACGGUCCAGACUCCUACGGGAGGCAGCAGUGGGGAAUAUUGGACAAUGGGCGCAAGCCUGAUCCAGCCAUACCGCGUGGGUGAAGAAGGCCUUCGGGUUGUAAAGCCCUUUUGUUGGGAAAGAAAAGCAGCAGGUUAAUACCCCGCUGUUCUGACGGUACCCAAAGAAUAAGCACCGGCUAACUUCGUG
rnacentral:rRNA from 1 species